UGGGGAAUUUUGCGCAAUGGGGGAAACCCUGACGCAGCAACGCCGCGUGGAGGAUGAAGUCCCUUGGGACGUAAACUCCUUUCGAUCGAGACGGGCUUCCGGGUGAAUACCCCGGGAGAGUGACGGUACCGAGAGAAGAAGCCCCGGCUAACUCC
rnacentral:rRNA from 1 species